rnacentral:lncRNA from 1 species
CCUCCAUCUGCUUUGUGUGUUACAAGACACUGAAAUCCUAAAUAAUCUGAUGUGUCUCUCUUGGAUUCUCUGUAGACAGAAGAGAUAAACCUGAGAGUGGAGUCACUUUAGACUUAGAAGCCCUAGGUCGUUUGGUUUUUUUUAAAAUGGCUCUUUAAUGUGCUCAAAAGUACACAGCCAGCCAUGACAUAUGACAGCUUCUCUAGACCAUGCAGUCCCCAUGUUCUAUAAUUCUCUUUCUCAUUUGGUCCAACACAACCCUGGGGCCACUAGGGAGGCUGGAGUGAACUCCACUGGCUAGAGAGCUCUUGAUCAGAAUGACAAGAAGACAUCUCUACUGCUUGUCAGAGAACUGAUGGAGAGGUAUUCCAGGUUAGGGCUUGGAGGAGGAAGCAGGUGAGUAGGAUAUAGGAACAGCAGUCUACUCAACUGUUGCUGAGAGCCUGUGUUGGUAGUGUGAGGACACCAUAGAUGAGCUGAGCGAUCACCAGUGUGGGACUCAAGGAGUGUAUCAGGUGAUAGAAGACAUUAGGUCUGUGAGAAACUUAAGCAAAAAUCCUGCUGAUGAGGGGAAGCUUGAGGCAGAAAAUAAUGUCGUCAGCAGUGUCAGUGGCACCCACAGAGGACAGUGACAGAUUGCACAGGCCCUCUCUCACAUUUCUGGACUCAUGGAGGCAACAAGCAAUGUGGAUGCGUGAAAGCCACAGCUUGCCCAUUAGUUUUGACUUCCUUUCUCAAAGACUUUCUGCUGGAGCUUGCACACUGGGCAUGUCACCUCUUUGUCCUUCCCUUCCCAGCCUGCUGUAAGAGACUGGUAGGGCUGUAGAAGCACAUCCCUGGAGAGAGACCCCCAAGUUGUGUCAUUGGCUUUUUCACAUCAGGGACAGAGACCAGGCUGCUUCCCCCAGUUCAGUUCCAUUCUUGAUGUAAUGUCCCCUCACUGCCUCCUCUGCAGCCCAGGUGGGUCACUCAGCAGUAACAUACAGGGCUCUUAGGAAGUGCGGCAGCCCUGCUGGCCCUCUGCGUGCUGAGCAGCCCUUUCCCAUAGGCCUCUGGCUGUGCCUCGAGAAGGCAGCUGGACUUGACCCCACUGAGCAGAGGAAUCCUAUCUGCCUAGCAGGUUUACACAGUUGCUUUUUUCAUUAUUUCCUCUGGGCUCCUCCUUUGAGAAGAUUUAAAACAGGUGCUUUCCCCCCUCCUUCUUGACUCCUGGCAGCCACCAACACCAUUGAGAAUCUGUCUCUUGGAAUUCCCGAGGCCUAUUUGUGAUGCCCUCAACUGUGGCUGAAUUUUCUGCUUUCUCAGGGUCCUGUCUCUCUGUCUGUGUGUCUCUCUGUCUCUACCAUAUAUUUGGUCAGCUGUCCCCAAAUUCUCACGGCCCUCUGGGGUUAAGACAGUAGCCUGUCAUAUCCAUUCUGUGCUCAGCGACAGAAUGGGAAUUUUAUUCCCUCAAAUAGCGCACAAAAAGCUUUCAAAGUCCCCUGAAUAAAAAUACCCCAUUACCACUUCCUUUGGACCAGAGGAGCUGUUUCUACCCUGAGGCCCCUCUUCCUUUAGGGCAAGCCCCAUAGCAGACAGGCAAUCACUCAUUUAUGAAAAUGAAAGAUUCAUGAGGGACGGUGCUGGGCUGCCAGCAGAGUUUAGGCAGGUUCUGAUCCUGCUUUAAUUUAAUUAAGCCCUGUUUAUUUAAUCAGCCCAGAGAUAUGUAUCCUCAGGCAGGAAUUUGCUGCCUGUUUCUGAGCUGUGCUUUUGUCUGUGGGAGGAUGAAAGCGGCGAUCUGCCUGGUAGUUUUUAAGGGUUUGGGGCCCAAGAGACAGCCUGGUGGUCUGGAGUCAGGCCAGGCACUAUGGGGACAGUGUAUUCAGCAGCUGUGCCUGUGUAUGUGUGUGUGUGUGUGCAGGUGUGAAGUGUGCACAUGCGUGUGUGUGUGUGUGUGUGUGUGUGUGUGCAUGCAGACUCCUGAUGCUCAGAGCCCUAGAGUCUGGUUCUUGGUCAGGACUAUCAGAGAAGCCUGAUUUGCCACCAGUCUGCAUUCUUAGCCACCAUGAGAGGAAAGAAUUAGGGAAACAAGGUCACAGUGUUGCUUAAGGACAGUGUUGCUCAGAGUACGCUCCAGCAAUCCUGU